rnacentral:rRNA from 1 species
AACGAACGCUGGCGGCAUGCCUAACACAUGCAAGUCGAACGAGACCUUCGGGUCUAGUGGCGCACGGGUGCGUAACGCGUGGGGACCUGCCUUUAGGUUCGGAAUAACUCAGAGAAAUUUGAGCUAAUACCGGAUGAUGUCUUCGGACCAAAGAUUUAUCGCCUUUAGAUGGGCCCGCGUUGGAUUAGCUAGUUGGUGGGGGAAAGGCCUACCAAGGCGACGAUCCAUAGCUGGUCUGAGAGGAUGAUCAGCCACACUGGGACUGAGACACGGCCCAGACUCCUACGGGAGGCAGCAGUGGGGAAUAUUGGACAAUGGGCGAAAGCCUGAUCCAGCAAUGCCGCGUGAGUGAUGAAGGCCUUAGGGUUGUAAAGCUCUUUUACCCGAGAUGAUAAUGACAGUAUCGGGAGAAUAAGCUCCGGCUAACUCCGUG